UACAGAGGUCUCAAGCGUUGUUCGGAUUCAUUGGGCGUAAAGGGUGCGUAGGCGGCGCGGUAAGUCAGGUGUGAAAUCUCGGAGCUUAACUCCGAAACUGCAUUCGAUACUGCCGUGCUUGAGGACUGGAGAGGAGACUGGAAUUUACGGUGUAGCGGUGAAAUGCGUAGAUAUCGUAAGGAAGACCAGUGGCGAAGGCGGGUCGCUGGAACAGUUCCUGACGCUGAGGCACGAAGGUCAGGGGAGGC
rnacentral:rRNA from 1 species